GUGAAAUUAUUCGCCAUCUUCCCUACAGUAAAAUUAUUCGCCAUCUUCCCUAUUUGCACAAAUUUCACAAAGAUUGUAUUGAUCCUUGGCUCCAUAGGAAAACAUCAUGCCCGGUGUGCAAGUCAUCUAUCACCUAAUUUACUGCUGGUUUCAGAUGGAUAAUUUCUUAUUCUACUACAGAAUGUUGGCUGUCCCAUUUUGGUCUGAGGUCCUAAUGAAGUCUGCCAAACCAGUGGCAAGUCUGAAGGCCGCAGUUUUUUCCCCAUGACAGAUUAGUUACAAAUAUACCUGGUUGAUGGGGCUACACAGGAGUGUUGAAAUGGUGACCACAUGCUACUUUGAGAGCUCAAGAAUAUUUUGAUUCAUAGUGACACUAAUCUAUGUUACAACUUUUAAUUUUUGGUUGAACUUUUAUGUUAGAACUUUUAUGUUUUGGUUGAACU